rnacentral:tRNA from 1 species
GGGCCGCUAACUCAAUGGCAGAGUAGGCGCCUUUUAAGCGCAGAGUUCCGGGUUCGAGUCCCGGGCGGCCCA